AUUGAACGCUGGCGGCAGGCCUAACACAUGCAAGUCGAGCGGAGCGGCGGACGGGCGAGUGAUGACUAGGAAUCUGACUGGUAGUGGGGGAUAAAGACCGGGAACGAGCGGUAGUAAAACAUACUAUCAAAUGAGAGUAGGUGGGAUUAGCUAGUUGGUGGGGUAAAGGCCGACCAAGGCGACGGUCCGUAACUGGUCUGAGAGGAUGAUCGGUCCCACUGGAACUGAGACACGGUCCAGACUCCUACGGGAGGCAGCAGUGGUGAAUAUUGGACAAUGGGCGAAAGCCUGAUCCAGCAAUGCCGCGUGUGUGAAGAAGGUCUUCGGAUUGUAAAGCACUUUUAUUUGGGAGGCGUUACCUACAGAAUAAGCCCCGGCUAACUUCGUGCCAGCAGCCGCGGUAAUAC
rnacentral:rRNA from 1 species